rnacentral:rRNA from 1 species
CCUACGGGAGGCUGCAGUGAGGAAUAUUGGUCAAUGGACGAGAGUCUGAACCAGCCAAGUAGCGUGAAGGAUGACUGCCCUAUGGGUUGUAAACUUCUUUUAUAUGGGAAUAAAGUGUUCCACGUGUGGGAUUUUGUAUGUACCAUAUGAAUAAGGAUCGGCUAACUCCGUGCCAGCAGCCGCGGUAAUACGGAGGAUCCGAGCGUUAUCCGGAUUUAUUGGGUUUAAAGGGAGCGUAGAUGGAUUGUUAAGUCAGUUGUGAAAGUUUGCGGCUCAACCGUAAAAUUGCAGUUGAAACUGGCAGUCUUGAGUACAGUAGAGGUGGGCGGAAUUCGUGGUGUAGCGGUGAAAUGCUUAGAUAUCACGAAGAACUCCGAUUGCGAAGGCAGUUCACUGGACUGCAACUGACACUGAGGCUCGAAAGUGUGGGUAUCAAACAGGAUUAGAUACCCUUGUAGUC